CUCCUGCCCCCAUUCCCCAAGCGGCCAAGCCCUAACUCAGGCCUCCCUUGCCGACCACGACUGAACGACUCCCUUGCCGACCACACGGAGACGAGACAUGGAGAUACCGGAACACUCCCUUGCCAAAGACCGCGACCCUUGUCUCCGGUCUCCACCCUUGCCGACGACGAACAGACGAAGCUGCUGCCCAACGAGACACGGACACCGGAAGACUCCCUUGCCGACGACGAAGACCCUUGUCUCCGGUCUCCACCCUUGCCGACGAUGAAUGGACGAAGUUGCUGCCCGACGAGACCGAGUGAGUUCGUUAAGUAAGCAAAAAAUUGGCAAUUUUGAGGAAAUCAGGCAGUAGCUCUAAGAGGAUGUUAUGGAAGAAAAAUGUAGCUCUGCGGCUUUGCUUUGUGGCAUUUCUCCCUGACAUUUUGGACUCCAAGGCAUAGGGAAGGAACAAAUACAUUGAGACACUGUUAUCUGUUGCUGAGAAGUUCAAAACGAGGCCCUACAGGUAAGUGCAAUAAUGUGCAAAUUAUUUUUAUUGAUUUAUUAUUUUCUGGAAGGCUUAAGCUAAUAAGUAAUCCGUAACGAAUGCAAGUAGACACAAAAUUCAUUCAUAAAUUGACAUGGCUGUCAAGCUUAACCAGUCUUAAUGAUAAUACAACUAUGUUUGGGCUGCUGCCGGUAAGCAACCAGAUCUCGAGAAGCAUAUUGGUGUUGGUGGUUAUGGCUAUCCUGCACUAGUAGUCCUAAGUGUUAAAAACCAAGUAUAUGCACCCCUUAAGAGUUCAUUUCAACACGACCAUAUUAAAGAGUUCGUGAGAGAAAUUGGAGAAUUAGGGGGUAGGGGAAGAAAUUUGCCUUUAACUGGCACCCUUACAAUUGUAAAGACCAAACCUUGGGACGGUAAAGAUGGGGAAAUCAUGGAAGAGGAUGAGUUUUCCCUUGAAGAACUUAUGGGAGAUGAUACAGUUAUAACAAGGAUGAAUCUUAAACUUCAAUACUUCUUCUUUCAACAUUAUAGAGAAUGGUACUCUCUACUUUAAAUUUUUGAGGAUUUAAUAGGUUAGAUAAUGUGUUAAUAUCUUGUACUUAAUCAGGUUUUAGACAUAUUUAAUGCAAUGAUACUCGUACCAU